rnacentral:rRNA from 1 species
UACGGAGGGUGCAAGCGUUAAUCGGAAUUACUGGGCGUAAAGCGCGCGUAGGCGGCUUGGUAAGUCGAUUGUGAAAUCCCCGGGCUCAACCUGGGAAUUGCAGUCGAGACUGCUUGGCUAGAGUGUGGGAGAGGGUGGUGGAAUUCCCGGUGUAGCGGUGAAAUGCGUAGAUAUGCGGAGGAACACCGAUGGCGAAGGCAAUCCCCUGGGCCUGCACUGACGCUCAUGCACGAAAGCGUGGGGAGCAAACAGG